UACGUAGGGUCCGAGCGUUGUUCGGAAUUACUGGGCGUAAAGCGCGCGUAGGCGGCUUUGUAAGUUAGAGGUGAAAGCCCGGGGCUCAACCCCGGAAUUGCCUUUAAGACUGCAUCGCUAGAAUCCGGGAGAGGUGAGUGGAAUUCCGAGUGUAGAGGUGAAAUUCGUAGAUAUUCGGAAGAACACCAGUGGCGAAGGCGGCUCACUGGACCGGUAUUGACGCUGAGGUGCGAAAAGCGUGGGGAGCAAACAGG
rnacentral:rRNA from 1 species